UGGGGAAUUUUGGACAAUGGGCGAAAGCCUGAUCCAGCCAUGCCGCGUGCAGGAUGAAGGCCUUCGGGUUGUAAACUGCUUUUGUACGGAACGAAAAGACUCUGGUUAAUACCUGGGGUCCAUGACGGUACCGUAAGAAUAAGCACCGGCUAACUACGUGCCAGCGGCCGCGGUAAUACGUAGGGUGCAAGCGUUAAUCGGAAUUACUGGGCGUAAAGCGUGCGCAGGCGGUUAUAUAAGACAGAUGUGAAAUCCCCGGGCUCAACCUGGGAACUGCAUUUGUGACUGUAUAGCUAGAGUACGGGCAGAGGGGGGAUGGAAUUUCCCGCGUGUAGCAGUGAAAUGCGUAGAUAUGCGGAGGAACACCGAUGGCGAAGGCAAUCCCCUGGGCCUGUACUGACGCUCAUGCACGAAAGCGUGGGGAGCAAACAGGAUUAGAUACCCUGGUAGUCCACGCCCUAAACGAUGUCAACUGGGUUGUUGGGUCUUCACUGACUCAGUAACGAAGCUAACGCGUGAAGUUG
rnacentral:rRNA from 1 species